UUGUUAACGUCCUUAGAUUGCUCUUGCUAAAAUAUCAUCUCUCUCUCUCUCUCUCUCUCUCUCUCUCUCUCUCUCUCAAUGUCAAUUAGGUUUUGACUAGGUCUGAUUUUCCUAGGAUGGACUGCUCCAAUGCCUUCACCAGCAUUCUGAAACUUUGCAAAUUGCAACUGCUAAUGAUGCGCCAUAAAUGGUCAACAUGACCUACAGUGGGCGGCCAUUGAGAGGUUACCAACCUUGGAGAGGCAUAGGAAACCAAUCUUCGAGAUGGAAUAUAGGGGAGGCGAGAAAAUGGUGGUUGAUAUCACUAAGCUCGGGCCUAGGGAACGACACCUGUUAAUGGAUAAGUUCAUCAAGCACACUGAGCAUGAGAAACUUAGGCUGCUUCGGAAGAUACGCGAGAGAAUAGAACAGAAGCCAGGCCUCUGCGCUGAGAAUAGAUUUUCGACUUAAUCCUCUGUGACAUGGAUCCUCUUUCUUCUUAUAUCUUCUGUUCUUUUUCUGUUCCAUUUAUACAAUGUCUGAUAAAUCUUUCCGCUUGGCUUUGUAUCAGACCAUAGAGUGCUUAUUGUCAAUGAGUCGACCAAUUGAAACCUUCCCUUUUUCUUUUCUAACCCCAAUGGCCUUUGUAGUUUUUUUCUUUCCUAAAUCUGAUUGCUUCGUAUUACGUUUUUGUUAAUAAAUGGAUGUUUUACUUUUGUGAAAUUUUCCUCGGUAGGGUUGAUGUGAACUUCCCACGAUGGAGGUGAGAUAUAGGAGUCACUGCAAGGAUGCAAACUGAGACUGUCCAUGGAAAGCCGCUCCGGACUCUCUGGAAUUCUCUGAAUGACACUAUUUGUAUAAGUAUAGAAUGACGGUAAAAAGACUUCUUUUUUUUCGGUAAGUGAUGGUAAAACAAGUUUGCAUGGAAUUUUAUGAUCAGGGCUUUGCAAUGUUUCCGUUUUCAUGGGGGGAAUGGAGCCAAGAAAAGCAUCGUCGAGGGUGUUAGCGGAAUGAUUAAACCUGGGAGGUAUUGGUGGCAACACAAUCCAAUGAAGAAGCUAAUUCUAAUAAUUAUUGUUCAAUUUGUCCAGGAUGACUUUUCUGCUUGGCCUUCCGGGAUGUGGGAAAACCACCUUCUUGAAGGCACUCGUAGGGAAUCUACACGGACAUCUCGAGAUAGUUGACAGAGGAAGUUUUGUCCAACGUCUACAGUUUUGUACAACGUCUACAAGCGUAAAAGACUUCGGCUUACACUAGCCAAUAUGACUUGCACAUCCCUCAGAUGACUGUGAUGGAGACAUCGGACUUCUCAGCCCGGUGCCAGGGUAUUGGACUAGAAGUGAAGAUACUUUGAUGGAGGUCAGCAGAAGGGAAAAGGAGGCAGGGUUUGUUCGGAUCCAAAUGUAGAUACCUACAUGAAGGGUGUUGCUAUAAACGGAUUGAAGAAAACUCUCCAAACAGACUACAUUUUGAGAAUCCUUGGGCAAGAUGUCCAUGCAGAUAGACUUGUCGAAGACGCGAUGAGGAGGGUCAUUUCUGGUGGCCAGAAGAAGAAACUGACAACAGGGGAGAUGAUUGUUGGUCCAAACAGAGCUCUCUUCCUGGACGUGAUUACAAAUAUGGCUUAGACAGUUCCACCGCAUUUCAGGCAGAAGGCAAAAUAGUCUACCACGGUCCCUGGGAUCAUGUCCUCGAGUUUCUCGAGGAUUGUGGGUUUAAGUAUCCCGAAAUGAUAUGAGUAGCCGUUUUCCUCCACAAGGUCAUCUCUAGGAAGGACCAAGAGCAAUACUGGAACCGCCUGGAAGUCACACCAAGUCACAUAUCAGUUAACACUUUCACGAAAAACUUCGAGGAGUCUUCCCUUGGGAUGACGCUUGAGGAGGAGCUUUCGAGUCCACUUGAUUAAUCUCUAGAGUCUACCUAAAAGUGUGACUUUUCCUCAUUUUUUUAGCUUGUAAUUUCUGCAUCAGUCUUGAUGGCAUGACUAUAGAUGUUUAUCAAACACAAGUUGAGACCAUUGCAUAUGUAAAACAAAUGUACCAGUCCUGUCCUUGUAUAUGUUAAUGUCCAUGUUUCGAUCUCCUUUCU